rnacentral:tRNA from 1 species
GAUUGAUUAGUUUAAAAUAAAACUAAUGUUUUGAAAACAUUCAAUAGAAAAAAUUCUAUCAAUCU